AACACAUCGAUCAACAUGGGGUCCGAAUCCAACCAAUCAACAAAGCAGCAUAAAAGUUGGUCAACCCAUUGUUCAAGUUCUAUAAAGACAGAGCCUAUUAGCCUACACAUUUGCCCCAGCCACUGUGAUCUCGCUCCCAACAAAAGAAUGUGGUGUUUUGAAAUAAAUCAAACAGGUGGGAACUGGCAAGGAGCAGCUGAGUCCAGUCAGUCCACACAGACUUUUUGACCCAUGGCAUGAAGCUUGAUUUUCCGAAGGUAGUGUAAAAAAGACAUGCAAGACCUUACUGGAGUAAAUACCAUUGAAGUGUGCAGUCUUGUCUUGUUAAUCCAAUUAUGCUUACGGUGAAAAUGGAAGUCCACCUAAAAAUUCCUUUCAAAUGCCAAUUGCUGAUGUUUGAGGUUGAAAGAUAGAAGAUCUCACCAAAGGAAGUGAUGGAGGAAUUAUAAAUCAAACCUUAAAGUCAUUCAAAUCCUAUAAUGAAAAGGUGCUUGUUGCUGAAGUUUUACUGCUCGGUCGACACGGAGACACGGUAUUUGAUGAUCAACUUGAGUUAAGCUUCAACCUUGGAGAAGAUUUAGAACACAACAUUCCCAACGGUGUUGAAUAGGCUCUGUUGAAAUUCAAGAAGCAAGAUUGAAGCUUGCUUAAGUUGACACCUGCAUACGGUUUCGGCUCUGCCGGUUACGAGAAACAAGGUGUUUCCCAACGUCAACCUCGAAUGUUGAACUCGAGUCAAGAGCUUUGAAAAGGCCAAAGAGAGUUGGAGCAUGGACGCCGAAGAAAAAGCUGGAGCAGGCUAAACUCUGCAAAGGAAAAGGAAUCAAUCAUUUUAAAACUACCAAAUACGCUCUGGCUAACAAACAGUAGGCCUACUCCAAGAUUGUCACCCUCCUCGAGUUUGAAUAAACUCUUAAAGACGAGAAAGCUACUGAGCGAGAACAGCUCAUGCUGGCAGCUUAUCUCAAUCA